rnacentral:tRNA from 1 species
GAGGGGGAUUCAACUAGACUGCUAACCUAGUAGUCCAAAAUUAGCCUUUUGGCCCCCUCCA